UUCCAACCCACUAACUACAGAGUUGGUUCCCCUGGCAACCAGCCUCCAACUUUAGGUGACCUGGGGCCUUUCUAAAUCACCUUAUUAACAUAACAGAGACAUCUUAAUGGCUCUCCUCUCUUAGGCAAUUCCAAGGGUUUUAGGAGAUCUGUGCUAGGGAUGAGGACGAAGACAAAAAUAUAUAUUUCUCAUUAUAAAUUACAACAUCACACCUUCCAAGAAGACUAACACAAGAAUUCAUCUAGGGGCCGGCCCGGUGGCGCAGUGGUUAAGUGCGCACGUUCCGCUUCUCGGCGGCCCGGGGUUCACCACUUCGGAUCCCAGGUGCGGUCAUGGCACCCUUUGGCACGCCAUGCUGUGGUAGGCGUCCCACACAUAAAAUGGAGGGAGAUGGGCUCAGGGCCAGGCUUCCUCAGCAAAAAAAAGAGGAAGGACUGGCAGUAGUUAGCUCAGGGCUAAUCUUUCUCAAAAAAAGAAAAAAGAAAAAAAGAAUUCAUCUAAAACACUGAGAAGUUAGCCAUUAUUUGGUUUGGCUUCUCACUCAAUGUGAUGGACCUUCUUUGGUAUCCAAGACAUCUGAUGACUGAAUCUUGCUUAGAUUCAGGCCAACUCUGUCUCCUGAAUUAUUCACCAACUAGUUCUUGUUCUCUGAAAGAGUAGUUUGUGCCAUUAAAUAAAACCCAGGUUUUAAUCCUAGCUCCUCAUCUUUGACCUUAGCAAGUCACUUAUCACUCUGACUCUUAGUUUCUUCAUCUGCAAAACGUGAAGUCCUGCUUAUGUCAUGGGGAUGUUGGAAAGGGGAAAAAGAGGGUGACCAUUUAUUAAAUAUCUACCACGUUCCAGGUGCUGUGAUGAGAACUUUAUACACACUGAAUUAUUAAUACUCCCAAUCUUGUCACCCAUACAUAUCCCUGGUGCACCGACGUGUACUCUAACAGGAAGACUCAGCUUUGGCCAACACCUGACAGCUUCCUUUUGAGAUGUUUUUCUGCUGAGCUGGGCUUCCUUCUCAGAGAAAUCGCAACUGCAAACCAGCUCCCACCCGACCCGGGAGCAGGGCCUGCACAGAGGGACUCGGAGGGGACCUGAAGCUGCCUCUGCUGCUGUUUUUUUUUUUUUUUUUGAGGAAGAUUAGCACUGAGCUAACACCUGCUGCCUAAUCCUCCUCUUUUUGCUGAGGAAGACUGGCCCUGAGCUCACAUCCGUGCCCAUACUCCUCUACUUUAUAUGUGGGACGCCUGCCACAGCGUGGCUUGCCAAGUGGUGCCAUGUCCACACCCGGGAUCCGAACCGGCGAACCCUGGGCCGCCGGAGGGGAAUGUGUGAACUUAACUGCUGCAUCAUCGGGCAUGCCCCUGCCUCUGCUUCUUUUCCACACAGAAAUACGGCCCCUGCGUACCUUGCUAGGGACAUUUGGUGCCGUGUGCAAAGAAGUUGGGAGGACUGGGCCCACGCCAGCUGUUCCUGGAAGUCUCCUCCCCUUUCCGGGGACCCUGAUGACGCUUUUACUGAAACUGAAGCAGGCUCCCUCCUGGCGAGUUAUAUCAGACUCUCCACCAGCAGUAGUCGUCUCACAGAGAAGAUUAGCCCUGAGCUAACAUCUGCUGCCAAUCCUCCUCUUUUUGCUGAGGAAGACAGGCCCUGAGGUAACAUCCAUGCCCAUCUUCCUCCACUUUAUACGUGGGACGCCUACCACAGCAUGGUGUGUCAAGCGGUGCCACAUCCACACCCGGGAUCCAAACCAGCGAACCCCAGGCUGCAUUUAGGAGACUACAAAUUUGCCUAAGGACUCAGUGAAAGACUUGAGAGUAUUUUGCUUUAAAGUCACACAUUUCAUUACGAAUUUCUUUUAUUUUGUAUCCAAUAGAAAAGAAAGUUUGGAUCUAUUUACAAGUGCUGUAAUAUUUACAUAUAUUAUACACAGUUAAUGAAUGUAAAGAAAAUGGGCAGAGAAACACAGUAUAUAUGGAAGAAUAUGCCACUGUACAUGGCUUUUUAUCAUGGUCCUUAGUGUCACUGAAUCUUUACCGUAGUAAUAAAUACAGCUCUAUAUUUACACAUCUUAUAAAACAUCUCAUAAAUGUAUUGUUUUCAAUUCCAACUUAAAACAUCUGAUCAAAAUAAACAUGCUUAUAUAAAAAUAAAUCUACCUAACAGUCUCUCUGUUUGGAUGCAUUAAAGCCACUGUAGUAUAUCAGAAGUUAGAAUUCAUCCUUCGACCUUCAGCAUUUAAUAAUUUCACUUCUUAAAAUGCCUCACACAUGUAUUAAAUACGAAAUGAGCAGAGAAGUCCUGUUCCUGACACCAAGUAGGUCGACACAGCUGACACCAGGCUAACUAAGCAGGGCCUCAUGGUACCAAGCCUCUGCUGAGUCCAAAGUGGCUUCAGACGUGGCUGCUGCUAGAGACACACGUGAGAAGCUGUCAGUGAUUUAAUUCAUGUGCACUUGAUCAUUG
ensembl:lncRNA